CCCUUAGACGUUCUGGGCCGCACGCGCGCUACACUGACCAGUGCAACAAGCAUCCGUCCUUGGCCGACAGGCCCGGGCAAUCUUUGAACGCUGGUCGUGAUGGGGAUAGACUUUUGCAAUUUUUGGUCUUCAACGAGGAAUUCCUAGUAAACGCAAGUCAUCAACUUGCAUUGAUUCCGUCCCUGCCCUUUGUACACACCGCCCGUCGCACCUACCGAUUGAAUGGUCCGGUGAAGCCUCCGGAUUGGCGCGCACCUCGGUGCCGCCGAGAAGUUGGCUAAACCUUACCAUUUAGAGGAAGGUGAAGUCGUAACA
rnacentral:rRNA from 1 species